rnacentral:sRNA from 1 species
CUUCUUCAACUUGCUGUGGGCAAAUAAAAUGGAUAUGGGCAUCUAUGCCACCUGCAGUUAAAAUUUGACCUUCACCCGCGAUCACUUCGGUGCCUGGGCCAACUUCAAUAUCCACGUUAUCUUGAACAUCUGGGUUGCCAGCUUUGCCGAUUAACGCAAUGCGACCGUCUUUAACGCCGACAUCGGCUUUUAUUAUGCCCCAGUGGUCGACAAUUAACGCAUUGGUUAUGACUAAAUCGACAGUAUCAUGACAUGAUGCUUGGCUUUGGCCCAUGCCAUCUCUAAU